AUGCAUGCGAGUCGGACGCGGUUUCCUUCGGGAGACUGAGUGGCGCACGGCUGAGGAACACGUGGGUUAUCUGCCCCGGUGUGGGGGACAACGGGCCGAAAGGGGCGCUAAUCCCGCAUACGCUCUUCGGAGGAAAGACUUCGGUCGCACUGGGAGGAGCCUGCGGNCCAUCAGGUAGUUGGUGUGGUAAGUGCGCACCAAGCCAAUGACGGGUCCCUGGUCUGAGAGGACGACCAGGCAGACUGGGACUGAGACACGGCCCAGACUCCUACGGGAGGCAGCAGCAAGGAAUUUUCCGCAAUGGGCGCAAGCCUGACGGAGCAACGCCGCGUGCCCGGAGGACGGCCUUCGGGUUGUAAACGGCUUUUGCCGGGGACGAGAUGGACCGGUACCCGGCGAAUAAGCCCCGGCUAACUCCGUGCCAGCAGCCGCGGUAAUACGGAGGGGGCAAGCGUUGUCCGGACUCACUGGGCGUAAAGCGUGCGUAGGCGGCACGGUGCGUCGGCGCUGAAAGCGCCCCGC
rnacentral:rRNA from 1 species